UUUAGAAGUUGGGGUCAAGGUUUCCGUAGGUGAACCUGCGGAAGGAUCAUUACCGAGUGAGGGCCCUCUGGGUCCAACCUCCCACCCGUGUCUAUCGUACCUUGUUGCUUCGGCGGGCCCGCCGUUUCGACGGCCGCCGGGGAGGCCUUGCGCCCCCGGGCCCGCGCCCGCCGAAGACCCCAACAUGAACGCUGUUCUGAAAGUAUGCAGUCUGAGUUGAUUAUCGUAAUCAGUUAAAACUUUCAACAACGGAUCUCUUGGUUCCGGCAUCGAUGAAGAACGCAGCGAAAUGCGAUAAGUAAUGUGAAUUGCAGAAUUCAGUGAAUCAUCGAGUCUUUGAACGCACAUUGCGCCCCCUGGUAUUCCGGGGGGCAUGCCUGUCCGAGCGUCAUUGCUGCCCUCAAGCACGGCUUGUGUGUUGGGCCCCCGUCCCCCUCUCCCGGGGGACGGGCCCGAAAGGCAGCGGCGGCACCGCGUCCGGUCCUCGAGCGUAUGGGGCUUUGUCACCUGCUCUGUAGGCCCGGCCGGCGCCAGCCGACACCCAACUUUAUUUUUCUAAGGUUGACCUCGGAUCAGGUAGGGAUACCCGCUGAACUUAAGCAUAUCUGGCCGGGAAGGAA
rnacentral:rRNA from 1 species